GAAGGGUGAAGGGGUUGCAAUAAACUGGUGGCUGCGACUGUUUAAUAAAAACACAGCACUCUGCAAACACGAAAGUGGACGUAUAGGGUGUGACGCCUGCCCGGUGCCGGAAGAUUAAAUGAUGGGGUGCAAGCUCUUGAUUGAAGUCCCGGUAAACGGCGGCCGUAACUAUAACGGUCCUAAGGUAGCGAAAUUCCUUGUCGGGUAAGUUCCGACCUGCACGAAUGGCGUAACGAUGGCCACACUGUCUCCUCCCGAGACUCAGCGAAGUUGAAGUGUUUGUGAUGAUGCAAUCUACCCGCGGCUAGACGGAAAGACCCCAUGAACCUUUACUGUAGCUUUGCAUUGGACUUUGAACCGAUCUGUGUAGGAUAGGUGGGAGGCUAUGAAACCGGAACGCUAGUUUCGGUGGAGCCGUCCUUGAAAUACCACCCUGGUUUGUUUGAGGUUCUAACCUUGGUCCGUGAUCCGGAUCGGGGACAGUGCAUGGUAGGCAGUUUGACUGGGGCGGUCUCCUCCCAAAGGGUAACGGAGGAGUACGAAGGUACGCUAGGUACGGUCGGAAAUCGUGCUGAUAGUGCAAUGGCAUAAGCGUGCUUAACUGCGAGACCGACAAGUCGAGCAGGUGCGAAAGCAGGUCAUAGUGAUCCGGUGGUUCUGUAUGGAAGGGCCAUCGCUCAACGGAUAAAAGGUACUCUGGGGAUAACAGGCUGAUACCGCCCAAGAGUUCAUAUCGACGGCGGUGUUUGGCACCUCGAUGUCGGCUCAUCUCAUCCUGGGGCUGUAGCCGGUCCCAAGGGUAUGGCUGUUCGCCAUUUAAAGAGGUACGUGAGCUGGGUUUAAAACGUCGUGAGACAGUUUGGUCCCUAUCUGCCGUGGGCGUUGGAUAUUUGAAGGGGGCUGCUCCUAGUACGAGAGGACCGGAGUGGACGAACCUCUGGUGUACCGGUUGUGACGCCAGUCGCAUCGCCGGGUAGCUAUGUUCGGAAGAGAUAACCGCUGAAAGCAUCUAAGCGGGAAACUCGCCUUAAGAUGAGAUAUCCCUGGAGGCUUGACCUCCUUGAAGGGUCGUUCGAGACCAGGACGUUGAUAGGUCGGGUGUGUAAGCGCAGUAAUGCGUUCAGCUAACCGAUACUAAUUGCCCGUAAGGCUUGAUCCU
rnacentral:rRNA from 1 species